GACGAACGCUGGCGGUGUGCUUCACACAUGCAAGUCGAACGAGGUAGCAAUACCUAGUGGCGGACGGGUGAGUAACGCGUGGGAAUCUGCCUUAAGAUGGGGGAUAACGAGCCGAAAGGCUCGCUAAUACCGCAUAUGCCGAAAGGUGAAAGGAGUAAUCCGUCUUAAGAUGAGCCCGCGUCCGAUUAGCUAGUUGGUAGGGUAAAGGCCUACCAAGGCGACGAUCGGUAGCUGGUCUGAGAGGAUGAUCAGCCACAAUGGGACUGAGACACGGCCCAUACUCCUACGGGAGGCAGCAGUGGGGAAUUUUACGCAAUGGGGGAAACCCUGACGUAGCGACACCGCGUGAGCGAAGAAGCCCCUUGGGGUGUAAAGCUCUGUCAGCUGGAACGAAAAAAAUGACGGUACCAGCAGAGGAAGCAUCGGCUAACUACGUGCCAGCCGCCGCCGUAAGAC
rnacentral:rRNA from 1 species